UACAGAGGUCUCAAGCGUUGUUCGGAUUCAUUGGGCGUAAAGGGUGCGUAGGCGGCGCGGUAAGUCGGGUGUGAAAUCUCGGAGCUUAACUCCGAAACUGCAUUCGAUACUGCCGUGCUUGAGGACUGGAGAGGAGACUGGAAUUCCCGGUGUAGUGGUGAAAUGCGUAGAGAUCGGGAGGAACACCCGUGGCGAAGGCGGCCAGCUGGGCCGACGCUGACGCUGAGGCGCGAAGGCGUGGGGAGCGAACGGG
rnacentral:rRNA from 1 species